rnacentral:tRNA from 1 species
CGCGGGGUAGAGCAGAGGCAGCUCACCGGGCCCAUAACCCGGGCACGUUGGUUCGAAUCCAACCCCCGCUACCA